rnacentral:rRNA from 1 species
GACGAACGCUGGCGGCGCGCCUAACACAUGCAAGUCGAACGAGAGAUGAGGAGCUUGCUCUUCAAAUCGAGUGGCGAACGGGUGAGUAACGCGUGAGGAACCUGCCUCAAAGAGGGGGACAACAGUUGGAAACGACUGCUAAUACCGCAUAAGCCCACGGCUCGGCAUCGAGCAGAGGGAAAAGGAGCAAUCCGCUUUGAGAUGGCCUCGCGUCCGAUUAGCUAGUUGGUGAGGUAAUGGCCCACCAAGGCGACGAUCGGUAGCCGGACUGAGAGGUUGAACGGCCACAUUGGGACUGAGACACGGCCCAGACUCCUACGGGAGGCAGCAGUGGGGAAUAUUGCACAAUGGGGGAAACCCUGAUGCAGCGACGCCGCGUGGAGGAAGAAGGUCUUCGGAUUGUAAACUCCUGUUGUUGAGGAAGAUAAUGACGGUACUCAAC